UACGUAGGGUGCGAGCGUUAAUCGGAAUUACUGGGCGUAAAGCGUGCGCAGGCGGUUUUGUAAGCCAGAUGUGAAAUCCCCCGGGCUUAACCUGGGAAUGGCAUUUGGGACUGCAAGGCUUGAGUUUGGCAGAGGAGACUGGAAUUCCUGGUGUAGCAGUGAAAUGCGUAGAUAUCAGGAGGAAUACCGAUGGCGAAGGCAGGUCUCUGGGCUAGAACUGACGCUCAUGCACGAAAGCGUGGGGAGCAAA
rnacentral:rRNA from 1 species